rnacentral:rRNA from 1 species
GCCGCGAGCUAACUCCCAACCCAUGUGACAUACCUACUGUUGCUUCGGCGGGAUUGCCCCGGGCGCCUCGUGUGCCCCGGAUCAGGCGCCCGCCUAGGAAACUUAACUCUUGUUUUAUUUUGGAAUCUUCUGAGUAGUUUUUACAAAUAAAUAAAAACUUUCAACAACGGAUCUCUUGGUUCUGGCAUCGAUGAAGAACGCAGCGAAAUGCGAUAAGUAAUGUGAAUUGCAGAAUUCAGUGAAUCAUCGAAUCUUUGAACGCACAUUGCGCCCGCCAGUAUUCUGGCGGGCAUGCCUGUCUGAGCGUCAUUUCAACCCUCAUGCCCCUAGGGCGUGGUGUUGGGGAUCGGCCAAAGCCCGCGAGGGACGGCCGGCCCCUAAAUCUAGUGGCGGACCCGUCGUGGCCUCCUCUGCGAAGUAGUGAUAUUCCGCAUCGGAGAGCGACGAGCCCCUGCCGUUAAACCCCCAACUUUCCAAGGUUGACCUCAGAUCAGGUAGGAAUACCCGCUGAACUUAAGCAUAUCAAUAAGGCGGAGGAAAA